UACGGGGGGGGGCAAGCGUUGUUCGGAAUUACUGGGCGUAAAGGGUUCGUAGGUGGCCAACUAAGUCAGACGUGAAAUCCCUCAGCUUAACUGGGGAACUGCGUCUGAGACUGGAUGGCUUGAGUGCAGGAGAGGAACGCGGAAUUCCUGGUGUAGCGGUGAAAUGCGCAGAUAUCAGGAGGAACACCGGUGGCGAAGGCGGGUCUCUGGGCAACUACUGACGCUGAGGAGCGAAAGCGUGGGGAGCGAACAGG
rnacentral:rRNA from 1 species